rnacentral:tRNA from 1 species
GGGGCUGUGGCUCAGUGGUAGAGCACUUGCCUAGCAUGUGUGAGGCAAUGGGUUCAAUUCUCAGCACCA